GCCCCCGUAGCUCAGUGGAUAGAGCAACUGCCUUCUAAGCAGCCGGUCGGAGGUUCGAAUCCUCUCGGGGGCG
rnacentral:tRNA from 1 species